rnacentral:rRNA from 1 species
UACAGAGGUCUCAAGCGUUGUUCGGAUUCAUUGGGCGUAAAGGGCGCGUAGGCUGGCGGGGUAAGUCGGGUGUGAAUCUCAGAGCUCAACUCUGAAACUGCACUCGAUACUGCUUUGCUAGAGGACUGGAGAGGAGAUUGGAAUUCACGGUGUAGCAGUGAAAUGCGUAGAUAUCGUGAGGAAGACCAGUGGCGAAGGCGGAUCUCUGGGACAGUUC